CCCGGGGGCCCCACAGCCUCAUGGGAGUCGUAGUUUUUAUCUCCCCUAUCAGAAGUUUGCCUGUGAGGGCGUCUCCUCCCUCGACUCUCAGCGUUCCUUGACUUUUUGGUCUGGCUCGCUUUUUGUUUUGAGCCAGGUGCACAACAGAUAACACAAAACCUUGUAAGAGCCUGGAAAUUACAGAGUUGAUGACAGGGGAAACCACUUCUCUCUGAAGAUGAAAUCUGAGUUUGUACUGUAGAUCACACAGGGCUGGGAUAGAGAACAUAAAAGCUUCGAUUCUGCCGUUGAGAGUUCUGCGUGGCACCUGACUCACCCAAAAGACUUAAUGUCCUUCCCCAUUUAAGUGGGUUGAGAGGAGAGACAGUCACAGCUUCCUAGACCAACAUGAACCUCGGGAAGUCAUCUUAGCCCAUUCUCCCAUGUCAUGAAAACUAUACUUCCAACCAUUUUCAGAGAGACUUGGUGGCAAUGGUGGAGUCGAAGGAGACUUCCAGUGGCUUCAGGGACAAUGAGAAACAGAGGCAUAGUAACUGCAAACUCUUCUGAGUUCUUUCUCACCAUUUCUGAGGGCUGUGGGAGGUUAAUGGAUGCCUUGUAGGCCAGUUGUGGACCUGCCUUAGAGAAUUUGGCCUCUUAGUACAAGCCUGACAAGGCAGAGCAGACAGCUAAGAAAUCGUGGGCAGGGAUCUUGCAC